rnacentral:rRNA from 1 species
GAUCAUGGCUCAGGAUGAACGCUGGCGGCGUGCUUAACACAUGCAAGUCGAACGGGAAAUACUUUAUUGAAACUUCGGUGGAUUUAAUUUAUUUCUAGUGGCGGACGGGUGAGUAACGCGUGGGUAACCUGCCUUAUACUGGGGGAUAACAGCCAGAAAUGACUGCUAAUACCGCAUAAGCGCACAGAACCGCAUGGUUCCGUGUGAAAAACUCCGGUGGUAUAAGAUGGACCCGCGUUGGAUUAGCUAGUUGG